ACCACUGGUUCCCGAACGAUCAUCGAAGUUAAGCAACGUCAAGUCUGGUCAGUACCUAGAUGGGUGACCGCUUGGUAAUAUCAGGUGCU